rnacentral:rRNA from 1 species
GAACAGAUAAGGAGCUUGCUCCUUUGACGUUAGCGGCGGACGGGUGAGUAACACGUGGGUAACCUACCUAUAAGACUGGGAUAACUUCGGGAAACCGGAGCUAAUACCGGAUAAUAUUUCGAACCGCAUGGUUCGAUAGUGAAAGAUGGUUUUGCCAUCACUUAUAGAUGGACCCGCGCCGUAUUAGUUAGUUGGUAAGGUAACGGCUUACCAAGGCGACGAUACGUAGCCGACCUGAGAGGGUGAUCGGCCACACUGGAACUGAGACACGGUCCAGACUCCUACGGGAGGCAGCAGUAGGGAAUCUUCCGCAAUGGGCGAAAGCCUGACGGAGCAACGCCGCGUGAGUGAUGAAGGUCUUCGGAUCGUAAAACUCUGUUAUUAGGGAAGAACAUACGUGUAAGUAACUAUGCACGUCUUGACGGUACCUAAUCAGAAAGCCACGGCUAACUACGUGCCAGCAGCCGCGGUAAUACGUAGGUGGCAAGCGUUAUCCGGAAUUAUUGGGCGUAAAGCGCGCGUAGGCGGUUUUUUAAGUCUGAUGUGAAAGCCCACGGCUCAACCGUGGAGGGUCAUUGGAAACUGGAAAACUUGAGUGCAGAAGAGGAAAGUGGAAUUCCAUGUGUAGCGGUGAAAUGCGCAGAGAUAUGGAGGAACACCAGUGGCGAAGGCGACUUUCUGGUCUGUAACUGACGCUGAUGUGCGAAAGCGUGGGGAUCAAACAGGAUUAGAUACCCUGGUAGUCCACGCCGUAAACGAUGAGUGCUAAGUGUUAGGGGGUUUCCGCCCCUUAGUGCUGCAGCUAACGCAUUAAGCACUCCGCCUGGGGAGUACGACCGCAAGG